rnacentral:piRNA from 1 species
ACACUUCCAGGAAAACAGUUUGUCGGC